GCGACGGAUGAUUUCCGUAUAUGGAUUGAGAGAUGUCUUUCGACCUUCAACUUUCUGAGAUGCUUCCCAAUAAUACAAUGCCAAAUUCAAAGGUCUCUAUGGAUUCAAACGUAGCUAUAUUUCUUGUAAUCUUCAAUUCUCUUCAAAUCGUCUUCGGAUCCAUCGCGAAUAUAUUUGAAAUCAUAUUUUUCUUGUCGAAAAGACAAGAACACAACAGUGUCUCCGAUAAACUGACCUUAAAUUUGGCUGUGGCUGAUUUCGUUGCCUUGACAACAUAUUUACCUUGGAGGACGUAUCUUCUACAUAUACGAAGAACAACUGACGAUUACCAGUACUACACUUCGCUAUUUGUCUUCUGCGUCUUUAAUACUGGGAAUGCGAUUCUUGUUAUUGGUAUUGAUAGAUUUAUUGCCAUUACUCGUCCGUUGAGAUAUCAUGUUUUGGUUACUGGUAAAGUAGUUUGGUUUGGAGUAACACUAGCUUGGAGUACAGCACUGAUUCUUAGUGUUGGACACUGCCUUAGUUAUGAAAAAUUUUCAUUGGAUAUUCAUAAACAGUACGAAUUAUUUCUAUCCUGCGUAUCGAUCUUCCAGAUGAUUGUAAUGACGGCAAUUUACACUGUAAUUCUGAAGAUUGCAAGAACGCAAGUUAAAAGCAUUUCAAAACAAUCAUCUUACAUCAACCCUGAAUCAAACAAAUCCACAAAGUGUGCUUCCAGUAUCCUGUACUUUUGGAAAAGUGCUUACACGACGUUUUGCAUUGUAUGUCUAUUUUACGCGACGUUCAUGCCAUAUUCUGUGUAUAGAAUUAUAACACAUUUUGAUGAUACUAUAACUAAGACAUCAAAACGUAUAACAUGGCGCUGGCUGAUGUCCUUUACUUUCUUAAAUUCUUGUCUCAAUCCCUAUAUAUAUUUUAUUGGGAUGAAGAAAUUCAGGUCUGCAUUUAAACGUUUGUUGAACAUUUGACUCAUAUGUUUUUAUUAGUAUAGUUUAUGUUUAGUGAGCAUCUGCAUGUUUAAAUGCAUGGUUUUGCUUUGUUAGGACAAAAUGAGAUCGAAUGAGAUAUGAGACUAUUUUGACAGAAGGAAAUGAAUCCAAUUUAGCUUUAUUCAGCCUUUCAAGAAAUUUGUAUUAGUGUAUAUUCGUUUCCUGAAGUAGCCUACAAACGAACGAUUGGAAGACAAAUACCAUUUGUAAUAAUUUUAGUCUGGUCUGAUUAAUUAACAAAUCGAUAGUUUGUAGCCUAUAAUUUCUCUUUGGGUUUACAGUAAGGUUUAUAGGUAUAUACACCACAAUGACUAUUUCAUUGCUUCAAAUACAAUGUGCGGAAGCAUUUGAUCACGCACUUUAAUUUGCUUCGAGUAUCAACGCAAUUUCUGAGACACUGCAGAGCCAUGUUUUUUUAAGUAUUAACAGUAAAUGUAAAUGAGUG